AGGAAUGGCCAUUCAGAGCCUGCCCCACCUGGGGAUCCAGCCCAUAUACAUCCAGCCAUCAAACCCAGACAAUAUUGCUGAUGCUAAGAAGCACAUGCUGACAGAAGCCUGAUAUAGCUGUUUCCUGAGAGGCUCUGCCAGAACAUGACAAAUACAGAGGCGAAUGCUAGCAGCCAACCAAUGAACUGAGAACGGGGUCCCCAUUGGAGGAGUUUGCAACCCCGUAAGAACAACAAUACCAACCAACCAGAGCUCCCAGGGACUAAACCACUACCCAAAGAGUACACAUGGACAGACCCAUGGCUCCAACUGCAUAUGUAGCAGAGGAUGGCCUUAUUGGGCACCAAUGGGAGGAGAAGCUCUUGGUCCUGCCAAGGCUGGACACCCAGUGUAGGGGAAUGUCUGUCGGCGUGGAGGCUCAGUGGUCAGUGCCAUACUGUACUUAUUCCUUGCUGUCACAGCCCCAUGGCUCACAAAAUGGAAACGAACUUGGUUACAUACACUUGGCUGUGCCCAUUAGCAUUGCAUGCAUUUUAUGGCAUUGCUUUUGCUGUGAAAGCAUUUUAAUACUUUUGUCUCAUGCAAACGCAGUAGCACAAGGAAUGAUUCUAAACUGUCCUGGCCCCCACCCCAGCAUAGUGUUUUCCUUUCUGUGUCAUUUGCUGCAGAACUGGGAAUAGAAUUUAUUUUUAAGAGCUGAGGCUUAAGGGAUUUGCCAAAAUUUAUGUUUUGAGGUUUCUUAACUAUGAAGUGCAAUGUUCACUUCUGUGCUAAUUCACAGAGC
rnacentral:lncRNA from 1 species